UCUCUCUCUCUCUCUCUCUCUCUCUCUCUCUCUCUCUCUCUCUCUCUCUCUAAAAUGACCUGUGAUUGGCCAAAGUCUCCCGUCAUGGAUAGACUUUCUAGAGCCUGAAAGCAGAGAGAUACAGAAAUCUAUUUGUCUCUCAGACCACUUGAAGUACAAUAUGCUGAAAGAUUAUUAUGGAAAUCUUGCCCGACAACGUCAAAAAUGCAGUGCCUACCCAAGCUUUUAACAACUAUUAAUUAGCAACUAAAGCUAAAGUUCUCUGCUCACUGAAAGAGCCCUAGUGGACGCAAAGCUUCAGAACUGGACCAUUCUAUUACCCACGUCUAUAGAAACUCAGAAACACUAUGGAGUGACGUCAGUAAGCUAACUCCCACAAUCAAGCCUGACACAAUUUUCAACCUCACUAAAGUCCAUUUCCCAUGAACCGCUGGUGUGGCGACGCAGCUAUUUGUGGGUCUUAUCUGUUCAAAGCAAUAUAACACUAAUAGGACAGCAGUGACUGGGAGAACUACAAUGAGCAUGUUUACAUGCACACUAAUAUUCCACUAUUAUUUCGAAUAUGACAAUAUUCCAUUUGGAUAUUCCGAAUAAGGCCUUUUUUGGACAUGUGUCCAGCGCAUUCAGAAUAUGCGUCUCAAGCUGGGUUUUUAUUGCAGUUUGUGCCAGUUUACAGCCGGUUUGCGGCUUACGGUCAGCUCUGUGCGUUGCUAUGGUUGUUGUACACAAACCAACCAACCAACAGUUUGCAAGGCUGCGGUAGAGUAAAAUGCCCAAAAGAAAUGAAGAAGAAACUACUUUUUAAGCUACUUUUCAAACAUUAUAAAAGACUUGUUUUCAAGAAGGCGGUUGAAGGAAUGAAAGAGUGACGUUUUGUUUGCAUGGUCGAGCCUGUCCGCCACUAGUGGAAAACUUAAAAAAAAUCCUAUUUUGCACGGCUGCAUAUAAACAGGAAUAUUAGUUGAAUAUUCACUUUCAUUAGCCAUGGAAACAGCUUAGUCGGAAUAUUGUCUUUUUCUGAAUAAGGGCAAAAUCUGGAAUAUUACGUGCAUGUAAACAUAGUCACUGUCCAGCAUUAGCGACGCCAUGGUAACACAGCAGACAGCGUCAUGCUGCUGUGUGUUUUACCUGUCAGGUGAAAUGGACUGGUGGAGUAUUGAUUGAUCAACAGGUCGAUUGAUUAUCAGGCGGUUCAGUGUAGUCUUUUUGUACUACUACUACUACUCAACACUAAGGCCAUUUUGUCCAUAACACCAGUAGCAGUAAUAGCAGCGCCUCAGGUUGGGGGGGGGGGGGGGGUAGAAGUGUGGAGUUAUUCACGUGGGCACAAAGGAACAAAACAAACAGCAGUAGUGGGAUAAUUUAUACCCCAUUUAAAAAUGCCUUCACACUUUCUCAGCAGUUUUAAACUACCACCAACAAGUAAAGAAUUCAAAUUUGUCUGUUAAAUAAUUUGGUAUUGUCCCUGUCAAUUGGCCAGCAUCUAGUGGCCAUUAGAGGAACUGCAGCUUAAAAUAUGUACUUUUUAACAUUUAGGGUUGAUUUUGGUUUAUCACAGCUUGGGCCUUAGUUUUUGUAGUUUUAGCCAUCGUUCCCAAAGUUAAUAAGAACACAGUACUCACCAAGUUAAUCUGGGAACGGAAGAAUUUUUUUUAAAAAUAAGUUUGACGGGGCAAAAAACACAGUCAGAAAUACACAACCCACACUGUACUUGCCAUAGCUGUGCACCAACAGUGAUCCUGUACAGUGAGGGGUAAUUGCUCGCUCCCUGACAAUUUUAUCGUUAAAUGAAGUGGCUUAUAGUAGCUGUUUCCAACCCAAAGAGAAGCAAAUAAAGUCUACUCAGGACCUUUAGUUGAUUGAAUAUGUGCAUGAGUUGCAAGCAGUUCAACCAAAGAUAGAUUUAUUUUUAGGGGUCGGAAACGACUAUUUAACAAUAAAAAGCUAAAGUUAGAGAAAAUCUUAAUAUUUUUUUCAGAUUUUCUUUCUCUAAUUGUCUUACCUGCCUAUCAACUCAUGAACACUUAACAUUUAUUGGUUAUUAUGUCAUCUUGUUGACAUAAAAGUAGUGAAUGAAAAUGCGCAACCAUUUGCAUUUUCAGUCUCCGAUUUUUCUAGAAAUAUGUUUAAAAUUUGGAUGGGAACUUUGGUAUUGACAGAAACAAGAAGAGUUGUUUAAUUUUAACACUAAUUAAUACCUACUAACUAAUUCAUACCCUGGCCUUUUGUUUUACUGACAGCUAAAACUACAAAAAAUAAGACCCAGAUGAACAGAAUCAAGUCGGGGCGGUUCCUGCUUGAUCUGAGGGCACACGAGCAGAUUGCGGACUGAAGAUUUU